AUGUUGAACGCAUUGUCUUUUUUAUGUUUAAACCUUUAUGGAAAUAAAUCACUAACAGCUGAAGCUGCUCCAAUAAAACAUGAUUAAAGUGAAAAUUAAACUCAACACAUUUAUACACAACUAGUUUUCAUCCCUGAGGAGAUCAUUUCAACAUUACUAAAGAAGAACAUUUCUGACAUUAAAGACACAA